GUGAACGCUGGCGGUAGGCCUAACACAUGCAAGUCGAACGGCAGCACAGUAAGAGCUUGCUCUUACGGGUGGCGAGUGGCGGACGGGUGAGGAAUACAUCGGAAUCUACUUUUUCGUGGGGGAUAACGUAGGGAAACUUACGCUAAUACCGCAUACGACCUACGGGUGAAAGCAGGGGAUCUUCGGACCUUGCGCGAUUGAAUGAGCCGAUGUCGGACUAGCUAGUUGGCGGGGUAAAGGCCCACCAAGGCGACGAUCCGUAGCUGGUCUGAGAGGAUGAUCAGCCACACUGGAACUGAGACACGGUCCAGACUCCUACGGGAGGCAGCAGUGGGGAAUAUUGGACAAUGGGCGCAAGCCUGAUCCAGCCAUACCGCGUGGGUGAAGAAGGCCUUCGGGUUGUAAAGCCCUUUUGUUGGGAAAGAAAAGCAGCAGGUUAAUACCCCGCUGUUCUGACGGUACCCAAAGAAUAAGCACCGGCUAACUUCGUG
rnacentral:rRNA from 1 species